CAAAGGGUAGUUUAAAUAAAAUUUUAGUUUUGGAAAUUAAUGAAAAAAGUUUCUUUUUCCUUUGA
rnacentral:tRNA from 1 species